UUCUCAUCUACUUCGCUCCGUUGUCUUUCGAGAUACCUCCUAUGUAGUCCUGUCGGUUUGCCGGUUACGGCAGUCCAACUUGGCAGCAACGAAACCAUGGUGAUGGCAGGAGUGUUUGCAUUCAUCUCAUGCCUGGACAGAAUAUGCACAUAUCAUAGGUCUUAUAUUCUUGGAGGCCGCUUAGCCAGAUUUUGUACAGAAAGGUGUACCCUCCGAUACUGGAUCAGUAUCUGUAUAAGAAAUCACUACUCGAAACAGCCAACGAGGUUGCUCCGCGUAAAAAGAAGAAAGUAACCGAGGGUGUCCGGACGGCACUCAACGUGCAGGUGGAACCGUGAAGUUAAUCCAAAGACGGGAGACGCACGGAGCCGAAC